rnacentral:pre_miRNA from 12 species
CUGUGGUGCAUUGUAGUUGCAUUGCAUGAUCCUGAAGCUGAGUGCGAUGCGUCUGCAGUGCAAUACAG